CGUGUAGCUCAGCUGGUUAGAGCGUCUCACUGAUAAUGAGGAGGUCGUAGGUUCGAGUCCUACCACGCG
rnacentral:tRNA from 1 species